UAAUUAAUAAAUAAUAAUAGUUUUUGUUUACAUUCACAAAUCCAAUAUCUACUACCACCGUUUGCAAGAAUGUUAUCAACCCAAGCUGGGGUUAGUUUGUUUAUUUUUCAUUCGUUUUUGGAGUAAUGUUUUGACUCCUUGGCUCUGAAAUUAAGCCACAAAAAAAAAAAGCUACCAUUCCAUAAAGAAACCUACUCCACAAUUCCACGGCUCGCAAUACUCCCACAAACACUGGGGCUCUCCUCCUACUGUGCUCUUGCUGCAGUGCAGACUGCUGCCACCUGCCCUCAAAGAAGAAAUAUUACAGUUCACGUUUGGAAGACAUCUCACCACACUAUGGAUUUAAUCCUGGUUAAGUAUGUUGCCUGUGGCACCCUUAAACACGUGAGUGGCUUAUCAAUUUUCCCCUACUCACCUUCCAUCAUUCCAUUAAUUAUUUCUUCUAAUUUAUAUCCCUCUCUCUUUUUUUGCAGUUGCAAUUUACUGACGUCAUGUCUCACAUGCAUGCCUAACAUUGGACCUGGAUGUGGAUGAGGAGGAAGCAAAUAGAAAAACACAUGAGGUUUUUUCAGCACUUCAUAGUUUUUUGACAUCGAAAUAAUUUCUUCUAUGCCAUUGUCAGUGUAUCACCUCCACACUUCCCAGAGCUACAAAUCUAAACUCAUGCUUUAUCUUGGCCCUGGUAUUUUGAUUCCAUUCUGACCACCAGGGAUCUGAAUGCUGCUCAGCUCCAUGCAAGUUUGCGCAGUCCUCCUUGAUAUAUCAAUCCCCCUUCAAAUCACAGUGUCCCUUUCACAGUCACGUUCUAAAGAUCAUGCACUUACCCUGAGGAGGAGCAAUGGUCCUGCCAGAAGCCGAUGCUGGAGGGUCUUGAAUGCAGCUUUCUGUUAAAGACGGAAGAAAGAGUGAAGAGUCAAGCUCUAUGAUUUUGACCCCUGCUGCUGAAUCCAGGGACAUCCUCUGCCAGAAGGACAUCUCUUAGCUCCGCCUCCCACUCUCGCAACUUGAUAGGCUUUCCUCGGUUUUGUCCUAGUCGAAGCCUCUGCAUCUUCUUUGUAACCGUUGCCCGACAAUCAUAGAACCUGCAAAUGUACAUAAACAUUACAAUUACAUUAAUAAAAAAACAAAUACUUAGAU